rnacentral:rRNA from 1 species
ACCGUGGGGAGACGUUCUGGUGUGAGAGAGUGGGGAGAACGAGCAAGAGAGGCGGUGUAGCAGCGGCGGCGGUUGGGAGAGGCGGUGCGGCAGGGUCGGCGGUGUUGAGGGGUGGAACCGCGCAGGGACGGAGGAGGGUAGGAGAGGUGAGGAGCCAGGGGCGGUGUCAAUAGACAAAGCCGGCCCAGAUCACUCGUUACCACUCUGGUCCACAGCGCCACUCGUCGGCCUAGGCCGGCAGCCGCUCGGCGCGGCACCUAGAUCGGUAGGGUCCCGCUAAAGGCCUCGGCUCCCGCUGAACUUCUAAAGAUGGAGUUCGACUCGGCGUGGCAGCUAGACCGGUUGGGUCCGACUCAACGACCGAACGACGGACAACCGGACGAUGUGUCGGAUGACUAUCAUACGAGCCAUAAACUGUCCCUUUAGUGUGUCGCUUCCAACCUCUGACUACGCCUACGCGCGUUCCCGUUGCAACCUACUGUGGAUCUUCUCGUUCGUGUCACGUCGCUUCCUUCAUGGCUCGAAGCCGUCGUGAUGUGGUAGCAGGAGACGGAGUGGCUCGUGUAGUUAAAGUACUCUACUAGUUGAGGGGCGUAUCUGGGCGAAGUUCCCUCCUCCUACGUCUCCGGUCGUUGUUCCUCGCCCACACCCACGAGUAGGAGCGGCGACUGGUGUUCACGACGCUGUUUGAAACCCGUCUUAAGCU